rnacentral:rRNA from 1 species
UACGUAGGGUGCAAGCGUUGUCCGGAAUUAUUGGGCGUAAAGGGCGCGUAGGCGGUCCAUCGCGUCGGGAGUGAAAAGCUGGGGCUCAACCCCAGUCCUGCUUCCGAUACGGGUGGACUAGAGGUAGGCAGGGGAGAACGGAAUUCCUGGUGUAGCGGUGAAAUGCGCAGAUAUCAGGAGGAACACCAGCGGCGAAGGCGGCGCUCUGGGCCGGUACUGACACUGAGGAGCGAAAGCGUGGGUAGCAAACAGG